rnacentral:tRNA from 1 species
GUUUCUGUAGCUUAGUUGGUAAAGGCAGCACUCUAGUAUGUGUCUCAGCAUAACUGAGGGUGUGAGUUUGAUUCUCACCAGACACA